GUUUGUUACGUCGGAUGUGAAAACCUGAGGCUCAACCUCAGGCCUGCAUUCGAUACGGGCAAACUAGAGUUUGGUAGGGGAGACUGGAAUUCCUGGUGUAGCGGUGGAAUGCGCAGAUAUCAGGAGGAACACCAAUGGCGAAGGCAGGUCUCUGGGCCAAUACUGACACUGAGGAGCGAAAGUCUGGGGAGCGAACAGGAUUAGAUACCCUGGUAGUCCAGACCGUAAACGGUGGGCACUAGUUGUGGGAACCUUCCACGGUUUCUGCGACGCAGCUAACGCAUUAAGUGCCCCGCCUGGGGAGUACGAUCGCAAGAUUAAAACUCAAAGGAAUUGACGGGGCCCCGCACAAGCAGCGGAGCAUGCGGCUUAAUUCGACGCAACGCGAAGAACCUUACCAAGGCUUGACAUAUAGGGAAAAGUGGCAGAGAUGUCAUGUCCGCAAGGGCUCUAUACAGGUGGUGCAUGGUUGUCGUCAGCUCGUGUCGUGAGAUGUUGGGUUAAGUCCCGCAACGAGCGCAACCCUCGUUCUGUGUUGCCAGCAUUUAGUUGGGGACUCACAGGAGACUGCCGGGGUUAACUCGGAGGAAGGUGGGGAUGACGUCAAAUCAUCAUGCCCCUUAUGUCUUGGGCUGCACGCAUGCUACAAUGGCCGGUACAGAGGGCUGCAAUACCGUAAGGUGGAGCGAAUCCCAAAAAGCCGGUCUCAGUUCGGAUUGAGGUCUGCAACUCGACCUCAUGAAGUUGGAGUUGCUAGU
rnacentral:rRNA from 1 species